GACGAAAGUCUGACGGAGCAACGCCGCGUGAGUGAUGAAGGCUUUCGGGUCGUAAAACUCUGUUGUUAGGGAAGAACAAGUGCUAGUUGAAUAAGCUGGCACCUUGACGGUACCUAACCAGAAAGCCACGGCUAACUACGUGCCAGCAGCCGCGGUAAUACGUAGGUGGCAAGCGUUAUCCGGAAUUAUUGGGCGUAAAGCGCGCGCAGGUGGUUUCUUAAGUCUGAUGUGAAAGCCCACGGCUCAACCGUGGAGGGUCAUUGGAAACUGGGAGACUUGAGUGCAGAAGAGGAAAGUGGAAUUCCAUGUGUAGCGGUGAAAUGCGUAGAGAUAUGGAGGAACACCAGUGGCGAAGGCGACUGUCUGGUCUGUAACUGACACUGAGGCGCGAAAGCGUGGGGAGCAAACAGGAUUAGAUACGCUGGUAGUCCACGCCGUAAACGAUGAGUGCUAAGUGUUAGAAGGUUUCCGCCCUUUAUUGCUGAAAUUAACGCAUUAAGCACUCCGCCUGGGGAGUACGGCCGCAAGGCUGAUACUCAAAUGAAUUGACGGGGGCCCGCACAAGCGGUGGAACAUGUGGUUUAUUCGAAACAACGCGAAAAACCUUACCAGGUCUUGACAUCCUCUGAAACCCUAGAGAUAGGCUUCUCCUUCAGAAACAAAAUGACAAGUGAUGCAUGGUUGUCGUCUGCUCCUGUCAUGAAAUGUUGGGUUAAUCCC
rnacentral:rRNA from 1 species